AGCCCAAAUCUGAAGUAAGGUAGAUUGGUGAGGUCAGCUGAUCCUACUGUUCUACUAAACUUCGAAACUGGGCUU
rnacentral:pre_miRNA from 1 species